rnacentral:rRNA from 1 species
AUGAACGCUGGCGGCGUGCCUAAUACAUGCAAGUCGAGCGAACAGACGAGGAGCUUGCUCCUCUGACGUUAGCGGCGGACGGGUGAGUAACACGUGGAUAACCUACCUAUAAGACUGGGAUAACUUCGGGAAACCGGAGCUAAUACCGGAUAAUAUAUUGAACCGCAUGGUUCAAUAGUGAAAGACGGUUUUGCUGUCACUUAUAGAUGGAUCCGCGCCGCAUUAGCUAGUUGGUAAGGUAACGGCUUACCAAGGCAACGAUGCGUAGCCGACCUGAGAGGGUGAUCGGCCACACUGGAACUGAGACACGGUCCAGACUCCUACGGGAGGCAGCGGUAGGGAAUCUUCCGCAAUGGGCGAAAGCCUGACGGAGCAGCGCCGCGUGAGUGAUGAAGGUCUUCGGAUCGUAAAACUCUGUUAUUAGGGAAGAACAAAUGUGUAAGUAACUAUGCACGUCUUGACGGUACCUAAUCAGAAAGCCACGGCUAACUACGUG